AUGUGCAAAAUAUUUCCCGCAAAUUUAAGUAUGAGAAAAACCUUCCUCUAAAAUAGAAGUUUAAGGUUAUACCCCUCAUAAAAACAUAAAUAUAAGAAACAAAUAAGGAAAUUAAUAACACAAAUGAAAGAAGCAAACACUUUAUAUAGAAUACAACAUAAACCUUGAAACCCCAAUAUUUGAAAACAAAAUCAAACAGUUUCUGGUUUUGAAAGAAAUUUCGAAAUCUAUAAUAAAAAUGACAACAGUUGCAAAUAUUAUUUGGCAUCACACUUUUUUAUUUUGCGUAAAACCAAAUCCCGUUAUUGUCACCCCCAUAGUGACAUGUUUGUUUGAUAUAUAGACAGUAGGUUACAAAAAAUGACAUUCUAAUCCAAACACUAGUUAAAGCCAAUUUACAGUUAUUUUUAACGCGACAAAUAUAUUAUUUGUACGAAUAGUACUUGCCGUCAUUAUCGAUGUAAGUAUUAGAGCGAGCAACAAAAAAUAUAUAUUAUUAUUGUCUAUUCUAUACAUUAAUAAAAAUGCAAUUAGUAAUUUGUCUAAACUAAUUUAUAUUUAUUGGCAGAUUUUAAAUUUCAUUUAAUUAUAUUUUGGUCUAUAAAAUUUUUGAAUAUGUAUAGUUUUCAAACUAGGCUAAAAAUGAGGGGGUUAUAAAAAGCAUUCUCAUCUAACCAUAAAUUGAUUUAGUUUUUGUACUCUUGUUGUUGUUAUCUAUCUUGUUAUAUAUGUGAACUGCUAACUGCAGAAAGGGAACAAGUCCAUAAAAUUCAAAAACUCACUUUUUAACAUAAAUCAGUUCAUAUGGGUAGACACACCGUUUACUGCUAAAAGGGAUAAACCUGCCAUCAUUUUUAUAGGCAUGGGAUCAUUUUGAAUUUUGCGUUUGCCGCGAAAAGGAAACACGUCCGGGACUUGUUCCUUUUCUGCGUUAAACAUUAGUAACAUAAAAUAAUAACAUUUUGCGUUUACUGUAUAAAGGAAACACGUCCGGGACUUUUUUCCUAUUCUGGGGUCAUUACUAAUGUUGACAUUAGUAACAUAAAAUAAUAACAUUUUGCUUGCGACUUACAAAUUUCUUUGUUAAAAAUGAGUUGUUCAGAUGAAGAUGAAAAUCCUUUAAAGAGAAGAAAGAAAGGAGUUGUUAAUUCAGACAGAUAUAAAAGGAAUGGUAUUAAGAAGGCUAAAUUGGCAGAAAAAAAACCAUAUAAACAUGGUUGGAAAAACAAUACCACCCAAGAAACCAGCAUCUAAUAUUUGCAGUUGCAAGGAAAACUGUUUGAAGAUUUACACGGCGGAUGACAUGGUAAAAAUAUUUACCAAGAUAUAUGAUAUGGAAACCAAAACUCAACAAGACAUCUACUUGCAAUCAAUAAUGGAGGUUUCCCCAGUUAACCGUCAAAGAUCUAGACCAGGUUCUACUUCUGCAAAACCUGAAUCUUCCGUAGUGAAGUACCAUAUUAUGCACAAUGGGGUUUGUAAAAAUGGAUUUAUAAAACAUAAGGAUGUAUUUCCAAACAGUGUUACAGGCUCUCGCAUCUGUUACAGCUAAGCAAAACUCCAGUAGAUAAAAGAGGCAGAAAUGUUUCUGUUAAUGCAAUUCCUGGCACUAAUCACUCGUUUGAAAGCUCAUAUUGAACAAAAUUCUACAAAAACUGAACAAUAUACUGGAGGAGAUAAAUAAUACUUACCAGCUAAUUUGGACGUAAAAACCAUGUAUGAGAUGUUUAUUAACAAACAGAAAUAUUUUCUUUUAACUACACUUGGUAGUGAGAAAAGGCUGUCAUAUAAAUUUCUCUGGCAUUAUUUCAUAGAAAAUUAUUCAUUACGUUUUGAUCAUCCUACAAAAGACACAUGCGUUGCCUGUGAGGAACUUAAGUUGAAAAUAAAAAUCCAUUUCUUAAUGACAAUGAGAAAAGACACGCAAUAGCAGAGCUUAUGGUCCACAAUAGGAGAGCUAAAAAGUUUUACAACAAAAUAAAAGAUACCACAGAGAAAUGCAUAAAAGACCCAAAACAAGUUGAAUUAUGUGUAGAUUACAUGUCUAAUGUGACAUUACCAUGCACUUCAGUACAAGAUACUUUUUAUUUCAGGAAACUCACAGUAAACGUCUUUGGAAUUCACGACAUUGCUUCCCGAAAAUUGACUGUUUUUAUUUAUCAUGAAGGCGAAUGAAGUAAAGGUUCAAACGAAGUAUGCUCUAUGCUUAUGUGGUGCGUAAAAAACAAAAUUUCAGAUGAAGUUAAAACUUUUCACCUUUUUGGUGACAACUGUGCUGGUCAAAACAAGAACCACACCCUUGUUAGACUUAUGGUGGCUCUAAGUUGUGAAACUAAGAGAUUUGAAAAAAUAAAUUUGAUGUUUCCUGUUAGAGGACAUUCUUUUAUGCCUAAUGACCGUGAUUUUGGAAUUAUAAGUAGAAAACUAAAAAAAAUAGAGAGAUAUUAUGAAACUGAUGAAGUAAUUAAUAUGAUUAACAGUUCUUCAAAAAUUCCUGGAAAGUUUACGAUAAAUGUUGUUCGAAGAUUUUAUUGAAUAUGGAUGACUCUUAUGGGAAAAAUGUACUAAAAUCUAACAAAAUAACGUUUUUAAUCUCAAAAUAUCGUGAGAUGUCAGUUUCUUCUGAUGAACCACGGGAGACUGAAUGCAGUAUGCAUAUUGCUGGAUUGAUAAGUGACAUUUUUCGCUUAUGAAACAUUAUAGGGGACUUUGAACUACCAACUAAUAAAGCCUAUUCAGGUGUAUUAUCCCUUAGCCACUUAAAAAUUGUGGAUAUAAAGAAGACUUUGGUUUAUAUUCGGGAUAAAAAGCUCCGAUUUUGAAAUGAAAUAACAUUAUGGCCUGUAACUACUGUGUCCAUUCAAGAAGAUCAACUAACUGAAUAAAUAACGUUCUUAAGUUGUAUUGUGCAUUUUAUUAUGAUAAUAAAUCAAUAAAAUAA
rnacentral:lncRNA from 1 species